GGAUCUUUGCUCGGGCAACGACGACCUACCAUUCUCGCCUCUUCAUUCUUGGUCCAAGAGCGGCAUUCGCCUUGGCCGUUGGUUCGGUUUCCUGUGUUGCAUACCUAGCGAGAUGGCAUUCGUUUGUAUCAAUCGUCCCUCGUUCGUCUCGUGACUACCGUUCGACGUGUGUGUUGCGGACGAACCGCAAAGCGCUCGUCGCGGUCCAUGUCGCUCACGUUCACUCGUGCGGCGUUUGUGGCCCGUGACGUUUUGCUCGUACUCAUGGAUGCGGAACCCUUUGAGGGUAGGGGGCGUUGGCCUCUCUUUGCCCAAUACUAAGCGUUCACCGAUAACUAGCGAACGACCGUCGUGGCCGUCUCGGGUCGGUCGACUCAAUGAGCCGUGCCCUUCCCGAACGACACCGACGUCGAUGAGGA
rnacentral:misc_RNA from 1 species